AUACGGAGGGUGCAAGCGUUAAUCGGAAUUACUGGGCGUAAAGCGCUCGUAGGCGGCUUGUUAAGUCGGAUGUGAAAGCCCCGGGCUCAACCUGGGAACUGCAUUCGAUACUGGCAAGCUAGAGUAUAGUAGAGGCAAGUGGAAUUCCGGGUGUAGCGGUGAAAUGCGUAGAUAUCCGGAGGAACAUCAGUGGCGAAGGCGACUUGCUGGACUAAUACUGACGCUGAGGCGCGAAAGCGUGGGGAGCAAACAGGAUUAGAAACCCCGGUAGUCC
rnacentral:rRNA from 1 species